rnacentral:rRNA from 1 species
UACGUAGGUGGCAAGCGUUGUCCGGAUUUACUGGGCGUAAAGAGCGCGCAGGCGGUCGUUCAAGUCGAGUGUGAAAGCCCCCGGCUCAACUGGGGAGGGUCACUCGAUACUGAUCGACUCGAAGGCAGAAGAGGGAAGCGGAAUUCCCGGUGUAGUGGUGAAAUGCGUAGAUAUCGGGAGGAACACCAGUGGCGAAGGCGGCUUUCUGGUCUGCUCUUGACGCUGAGGCGCGAAAGCUAGGGUAGCAAACGGGG